AAAUGAAUUGACGGGACCGCACAAGCGGUGGAUGAUGUGGUUUAAUUCGAUGCAACGCGAAAACCUUACCACCUUUGACAUGUACGGAAUCCUUUAGAGAUGAAGGAGUGCUCGAAAGAGAGCCGUAACACAGGUGCUGCAUGGCUGUCGUCAGCUCGUGUCGUGAGAUGUUGGGUUAAGUCCCGCAACGAGCGCAACCCUUGCCAUUAGUUGCUACAUUUAGUUGAGCACUCUAAUGGGACUGCCGGUGACAAACCGGAGGAAGGUGGGGAUGACGUCAAGUCCUCAUGGCCCUUAUAGGUGGGGCUACACACGUCAUACAAUGGCUGGUACAAAGGGUUGCCAACCCGCGAGGGGGAGCUAAUCCCAUAAAGCCAGUCGUAGUCCGGAUCGCAGUCUGCAACUCGACUGCGUGAAGUCGGAAUCGCUAGUAAUCGUGGAUCAGAAUGUCACGGUGAAUACGUUCCCGGGUCUU
rnacentral:rRNA from 1 species